rnacentral:lncRNA from 1 species
CUCGAUCUAGUUGUCCCUAAUUGUCCACAUCGAGUUUCUAUAAUUACAUAACCUCAUGCACAUGCUCACAUUGCUAAUAUGCAUUUUGUCUAUCAACAUCCAAUAAAGUAUCUUACUUAGCAUCUCUACAUUAUGUCAUCAUCUAGCAUAUAGUUCCAAUGGAUUAAUAUGCAUUCACUACGAGCAUGCAUUACAUAAUACUAACAUGUAUAUACAUUUAACAAUUUCUCAUUAUGUCAUGUUAGAUCCACAACAUAUUAUCAUUUACUUACAUGCUCUAUUAUGAGUUGACAUGAAACUAGCACUUGCAUAUAAUUCCAAUGCAUCAACAUGCCAUUAGCAACUAGCAUAAUUACUAUCAUUUAGUACAUGCAUCUUAACUAACAUGCUCACAUAAUGUUACAUACACCUAGCAUAUAUUCCAAUGCAUUAUUAUGCAAUUACCAACUAGUAUACAUUCACAUGAUGCCCUUAGCACACUUCUAACUAUGCAUAUGUAUAUCAACAUGCACAUUCUAAUUAUAUGCUUUAACUCAUCUACAAUACCAUUAUACUUGUACAUAUGCAUCAACAUGAAUUUCAUGUUUACUUUGACAUGAAGGCGAGCUAGUCGCUUCGGUAAGCACAACCUACCUGUUAUCGCGUUCCGAUUGCUCGUAGUCACUUGUAAUCGGCCGCCCGCGGUACCCGCUAUCUAAUUCGGCCCGGACUCGCAAUUGCUCACCAACCGUGCUCCGCUUCGCAGUCCCGGUUAGAAAAAGGUCUUCGUUUUGUUGUUAUGGUGCCCCAAAUCCAUUUCCAUGAUUUUACGACGUCGCCUCGGCCCUCCAGGCGGAAACGAAGCCUAAACGUCCGUUUCUUUAAUAUCUUCGUAACGGCUCGUCGGAUUGCCGAACCGUCUUCGCCAACGCGUUUCGUUACCUAGCAAUUAGGUUUUCGGAGGGUCAAAUUAGAUCAAACCCUUAUUUUUUGAAAAUUAGCAUUUUGGAGCCCUAGGUUACAACUAUGCAAGAAAUCACCAAAUUGAUUCAUGAUUUAAGCAUCAUUCAUCUAGAUAGCAUGCUAGGAUUCCUCUAAAUCCAUUUAUAAGCUAUUUAACCCAACCAUUAAGGAUCUACCAUUAAUGGGCAAGGAGCUUACCUCCAAGAGCUUGCUCCAAAAUGAAGAAGAAGAAGAUGAUGGUGUUGAUGAUCCCUCCAAGCUUCUUCUCCACCAAUUUCACCUAUUUUGGGAGAGAUUUAGAGAGAGAAAGAGAGGGUUUUCUCUUCUCCUUCCAUGCGUGUGUGAGUGUGUGUCGUGGGUGUGCACGGGUUGGGGCUGCACGGUUGAGGGAGAAGAAGCAUUUGCUUCUUUUACAACUUAACCCCUCAACUAUACAGUAUUCACAUUAGUUACCUGCCCGGAAUCUGAUAAGUUUCGUCGGAGCCCUUCUGGAUGUCCGUUUCUGCUCAAAUUUGACAGGCAGACUCGGUUUGACAUAUUGAGCAAGAAUAUAUCUUAAGUUUCCAGUUUCGACUUUGUUUGGUCACCGAAAACUAUGCCGAACUGUAAUCUUAGUUAAAUAACUGUUGGAUUUUAUUUCUCACUCUACGGGUGUCAAAAUGGUAUGAAACUUUAAAUCUAGUCUCAUAAAAAUAUUUCUGAUAUAUCCUCCAAUUUUCAUAAUUUUCUGACACUGUGCAUUUUCUGCUAAUUUAUCUGCCCCGUUUUUCACAGGAAAUUCUAAAUCUUCUGUUUUCGCUCCGAUUUCAGCACAGGUCAUUCCCAACCUAUAUUUUACUUCUCUAAAUCCAAUAAAAAUAGUGACUCAUACUGUUUUUAUUUAUUUUCAUUUUUAUAUUUAAAAUCCGGUAUGUUACAUUCCACCGCAACCUCACCGGAACCAUUUAAACGUACACCGUAACUUCAUAAUUUUAUAAGUUCGAUAUGUUACAUUCUCCCCUCCUUAAAAAGAGUUUUGUCCGCGAAACUCAAAUAAUUCAAACUCUAAUUCAUACCCCAACUCUACUUAUCGAGUAACAAAGGGGUACAAUGCACUUUUCUACUUCGGAGUGGUCCUGCGCUCAUUGGAACUAUUCAAAGGCCCACUACGGAGGUUGUGAAACUAAAUUCACUCACGUUUACCAAAUGUAACACCGAAAGUGCAUUACGGCUUCACAAGCCUCGGUGGUAGCGUGGGUCAAUACUCAUGCCUUCACACGCUCCAACACCACCAGCAAACAGGCUCACUAAGGCCAAACCACUUCCUUCGAGACUGGGGUUACCUGCUAUCCUCAUAGUGUGGAGCUAGCAAGAAUGCACUAAUAGUCAUAUGGUCCACCACCACGACACUGCACACACGAGUAAGUCCUCUCGAAUCGCCUGAGCAUCUACAAGGCGGCUCUCACCACCUUGGCUUAUUCAAGAGUUCGUAUUACUCAUUUACAACUCUUCGUCACAUUCACCAUCCCUCCAGGGAUCACACUCCAAUUCGAUCACCGGCAUUGCUUAGAAGCAAUAUCAUUGGUGCAUCGACCAAUCACGAGUGCUCCAAUCCUCAACCGGAUCCUUGCUCUACUACGAGAUGGCACACUCCCGCACAUCCCCGAUCUCAAUCCUCUUGAGAGCAUCAUCCUCAACUCCAAUCCUCACGUGGCUAUCCAACAUUCAAGUGCCUCUUAGAGACCACUCUACUUUCUCUUUAUCCUUUCAUACCGUAAGCCACGAUCAACACCACACGAACCCUUCGUUCGUGGAUCCGAGCCCAACUCACCCAUAGAGUUUUCGGUUACAUCAAUCAUCGAUUUCCUCAGGUGGACCGAAGGCCACCAAUCCUACGUGGGCCUACCACCUAAACCGGUCUCAACUACGCGUAGUGUCUCUGGCCUACUAGCGUAGACCCAAUCAUCAUUACUGGGCGAAAUUCUCAUUGGAGAAUUCGCACACACUCCAACCAGGAGUGACUAAGACCACAAACCACGUCGAGUCCUCGGGUUGGGUCACUACACACUCGGUGUGUCAUCAAUCUCACGAUCUAACACGUGGCAUUCGACGCUCCCGGAUCUAAGCUCGGACUACCGUCCUGACCAAAACUCUCUGCCCUACCCGUAGGUACCGGGCCGCUGCCUCUCGCAACUGACUGCGCCUGCCCAAUGGGCCGAGGCUCCACAGUCCACAAAGGGUCCAGGCACGGGUCGUCUCCAAGCACUACCCGCCAACGUCGUCCUACACGACACGCUCUACAGAGCUACACACUCUAACGGCUCCUAGGCACCUAGUGCGAGCCACCAGCCCCACGAGUGAGCUAUGGCCCGCUUCACACUUAGCCCUGCUAAAGUGCUACUGCCAACUCAUUCAACCGGCUGAAUCGAAACCACACUUCACGAGUACUACACUCGAGCGCUCUAUGUCCGUACAGCGUCUUACACGAAGUCCAGCAUCAGGCAACCUGCCUAUGCACACUGACUAUACGAGCACGACUCGCCCACCUCAAUUCGAGGUUCUACCAGGCCCACAUGCCCGUACUCGGCAACUAACCAAUCGCUCUGGCCUAAUGUCAGCAACCAGCCGGCACCAACCAAUCACCUAUCCAUUAGGUAGGCGACGCACUAUCACGAUUUAUGCAUGCUAGGGUAGCUACAUUAACCCUCGUCUCUGUCCCUACUAUAUUAGUGCAUAAGUAGUAGUGAAUGAUCAUGAAGUAAAUGCAUGCAAUGCUUCAGUUCUAUAUCAUGCAGAAGUGUAUACUUGCCUCAAUUAAAUCAUACUUGCGAUGAUAUUACCAGCAGCAGCAGGUUCCUCAACUUGGGUCGCGUAAGCCUGGCCACUUGGUGCUCGCCGCGUGCCUUCCGGCUGCCCAAUCCUUACACUCCGCUCUCCAGAUCGUGCCAAAGGUUGCACAUCCACGGGCUGUCCCGAAGAGGGGAAUGCCGUCGCUAUCGGCGAGGGUUGUCCAUCGCCAAUAGCAAAAUCAUACUUUGUGUGACCUGCUUGCCCACAAUAAAAACAUCUUCCCUCACGCAGUGCACACCGUCAUGCUCAGUGAGAUCCACCGCAAAUCACACAUUCCGAAGAAGACUGGUCGGAAGAUAGCUUCGGGAUUCGAGACUGUGACGAUCCGGGGGACGCCUGGAACUUGAUUGACCACCAGAAUGGUCUCUCAGUCACACUGCUCUAGCCUCUUGCCUACUAAACUCGCGCUCCUCUUGCACGGAGUCAUCGCCUUGCUCUACCCACAAGGCUCGAUCCAUGACCUCGGCAAAUGUUUGCAACUUGAACGGAUGCACGUAUCGGAAAACUUCCGACUGAAGUCCCCACACAAAGCAAUCAGCUUUGUCCUCGUCAUCCUGCACCACAUGUGGAACACAAUUCACAAUACAGGUGAAUUCCCGUUCAUAUUCCCUCACGGUACGGUCUCCUUGGCGAAGCUUCCUGAAUUUCUCUUGAAGCCUUCUUUUCUCACUGUCGGGGAAAUAUACGGAGAAUACCAAUCUCCGAAACUCAUCCCAAGUCAUAGGAGGGAGACUAGGCAAUCGAUCUCGUUUGACGCCUUUCCACCACACCUUAGCCGACUUCUCUGAGCAGUGUGCGGCUAGGUUCACCUUGUCCCGCUCUACGGUAUACAAGUCCUCAAAGAGAGUCUCCAUGGAGUCGAUCCACAUUUCCAAGACCCACGGAUCCGCCGACUCUCCGUCAAAGGUAGGCGGCUUAAACUUCUUGAAAGCCAUGAGCACCGCCACAGCUCAUUCCCUUUCCCCCUCCAUCUCCACAGAACCAGGGGCCACGGCCCCCAAAUCCACCGCGACUCCCGACGGUGCACGGUGCGCUGCUACCGGCGUAGCCACCGCGGCCUGUCGUGUCAACAACUCAUGGAGCUCCUUGAUUUGCUCUUCUUGUCGUUGCACUAUGUCCGUGAGCGCAUUCAACUGCUCGCGGAGCACCGGGUCCCCGCUAGCCUCGGCUUGCUCAGGGACACCACUUGCCCCGCCCCGCGCCGACCUGGAUGAAGAUCGCCUGCGCGGUGCCAUCGCUUCCUGAAACAAGACAACUCGAUUAGCUCUCGACCCUCAAGGUCAAACACAAAACCAUUAACACGACUCAAAAGUCAAUCAGGCGAAAGUCAUGCGAGGGCGUCUAUUCUUAUCGCUCGGUUUCAUGUUGUCGCGCGCCAACAUGAACUCCCUCGGUUGAGAAUAAAGCACACCUCGAGUCUACUUCUAAUAUCCGUUUUAGAGGUUAAUAACACAACCCAAUCCAUAAUCCUUUCGCCGCACGUCUCAAGUCCUCGUCUCUCACGAGCCUUAACCUCUAUGGUUUUACUAUCCUAGGGUCUCCUAGGUCAUCUAAAUCAUUUUCCCAUUCUCUACUUUAUGCUCUGAUACCAUCUUAUCUGUCACGCCCCGAGCCCCGCCUGUUUGGUCAGGUUCGGGCACGCCAACCGACCGCCGAACGGACAGGGUUUCCCUUGUACUACGGACAGAGUCUCCCCUGUACGUUCAAGGCAACGCAAUCAAUACAAUACGAGGGUUCCAACCAGGAACUGAUAUCAAUCAAGAUUGCAUAAUGGAAGGUAUCAAACAACAUAAACACAUCCUAAGUUAUUACACUCAUUCACAUUCAUGCAUUUUACAUCUCAAUUCUCAAUUGCUUUAACUUCCAAAUACAAUCUAAGUAGUACAUCGUUUACUUAUUACAAUUUGAUACAUUUACUUUCUUUUCAUUUCCUUUACCCCUAAGCUUUGUAGACGGGGUACUGCUAACUCUGGUCUCCGGUGUAGGGCGCUAUCUGCAGAGCUGCGCCCUUUCCUCGCGCCGCCGUGCGGCUCACGUACGAACCUGUAACACCCCAAAAAACGUGGGGUGAGAACCAACUCCAUGGUUCCCAGUGGGUACGGCCACCAAAGGGAAAAGCUCGGCCAUCAGGUUCAAAGGAGGCAACUGCAGGUUAGUUUAAUAAACAGAUAGAUAGACAUUUGAUUAUGCAAUUAAUAAAACCAUACCUUGCCUCGCAAAUAUAACAAUGCUAUGCAAUAUGCAAUACCUGUAAAUCAUGAAAGUAGAUUACUUUAUUCUACUUUAUAUCAUUAACCAUUCUUUACUUGUAGCCGUUCUUUUCUUUAUUAGCUAUUCACGUUCAUUAGCUAUUCUUUAUUCUUUACUCUUUGUCUUAUUGUGCUCACUGGCGAUUCUUUCCUAAGGUUAUUUUUUCUUAGCCAUCUAUGCCACUCGACUCGGUCUCGAGUCAAUCAACUGCGGAUAGUCCGCGCUCUGUCCGGCUCAAGGUGAAGGACCUCUCACUUACAGCUCAGCCUUCAGUCCACAAAUAUGUAACAUACCAGAUUUUGGUAUAAAAAUAAGAAUAAAUAAAAAUAGUGUGAGAAACUAUUUUUAUUGGAUUUAUAGAAGUAAAACAUAAGUCAGAAGUGACUUGUGUUGAAAUCGGAAUGAAAACAGAAGAUCUAGAAUUUUCUGUUGGAAACGGGACAGAUAAAUUAGCAGAAAAUGCACAGUCUCAGAAAAUUAUGAAAAUUGGAGGAUAAGUCAGAAAUAUUUUUAUGGGGCUAGAUUUAAAGUUUCAUAUUUUUCUGACACCCGUAGAGUGAGAAAUAAAAUCCGACACGUAUCUGAUAAAGGUUACAGUUCGGUAUAGUUUUCGGUGACCAAAUGGGGUCGAAACUAGAAACUUAAAAUAUAUUCUUGCUCAGUACAUAAAACCGAACAUGACUGUCAAGUUUGAGCCCAAACGGACAUUCAGGGAGCUUCGGCGAAAGUUAUCAGAUUUCAAACUGCCUGGAGUGAAUAGUGUUUGAGGGGUAUUAUAAAGAAGCUGAUGCUUCUUCUUCUCCUUCGGCCGCACACCACACACGCACACGACACACACACACACACNNNNNNNNNNNNNNNNNNNNNNNNNUGAAUGUAUCGUGACCAUAACAGAAGACCUUUAAUUUUCGGUAAUCGUGGCACUCGGAGAGCUGUUGGGUGGCGCGGCAAAGGAUCGCGGCCAACCGCGGUGCCCGUGUGCGGGGAGGCCGAUUGCAGUGUCGACAAGCAAUCGGAAUGCGAAAUGAGGGUGAGUUUUAGUUUACCGAAGCGACUUGCUAGCCCGCAUUGUCAAAGCGAAAUAUGAAAUCUUGUUGAGUGGCAUUUGUGUAUGUGCAUACGGGUAUGAGCUUGGUAUAAAUGCAUGCUAGUGGUAAAUUUGUAUAUUAGUAUGUAUGCGUUUAGUGAAAAUACGAUGCUGGGGAUUUAGCAUUAUGAGAUUCAUGUUGACUGUUUAGAGAACAGUGAGCGUAAUAUGAUACGUUAAAUAAUGUUUAAUGUAUACUUGAGUUAUAGAGAAAUUGUAAAUGUGCGACAUAUGUUAGAUGACAAUAAUCAUAUGACAUUAUGGAAGGAUGCCAUACUCAGAAUAAUUGCUAAUAAAUGAUUGGGGGAAAGUAAUGCUAGUUCGUAAUGUAUGUUGCAUUGAGAUGAUGCGAUGUAGUAACACUAAAAGAUGAUGUAAAUGAUCAUUGUGCUAAGCUUAGCAAAACGCUUGAUUAUGGUUGCCUACAUAAUAACUUCUCUAGAAUGCUGAAUGAAUUAUGGCCAUGUAAAUGCUAGAUAAUUGCAUGAUUGCAUAAUUAGCAUGUAAGAGAAGCUUAUAGAAUUGGAUCGAUAACUCUAUAUAGAGACUUUGCAUUGGACAUUCAUUAUAUUAGGACGGGAGUGGCACUUAACCUAGAGUCAUGAGCUAGGUUAAACAUGGUGAUGAUAUGACUAGUGUGAAUACAAAUAGGUGGACUGACCUAAGAUGUCAAAGAAAUUUAGGUUUGGAAUCAUGUGUUAGCAUUAAACACCUAUUGCUUAAAGAAUAUCAAUGUAUGGGACUUGGACAAUAGUAAACAGGGUGAAAAUGAAAUAGAGAUAUGAUUGGCAUCAGGAAAGUUCGUUGUUAAUUUAUAGUUUUACAUAUUGGACAUUGGUCCAAGUUGAACAUAGAGGUGGCGCUGAUUAAAUAGGUAGAAUAACAUCAUUAUGACGAAUGAGCAUUGUGAGAUGUGGUAUGUCUUCAAGAUCUGCAGGAUGAUACGUACUCACAAUAUAGUCUUGGCUUAUGGCUUGAGGGAGGUAGCUCCCCCUCGGGCGGUGCGCUCCGGAGUUGGUCACCACUGGGCGUUGUAAAGUCCCUCCAGAAGACGGUCCCUAGGGAGGUUCGAGUCCCCCGCUAUUAAGGGAUUUUGGGUUGUGAGUCAUUGGGGUUAACAUGGUUAACUGGUAAGAUUGGGUCAUAGCCAAAUGAAUGUAUAACAAGUAUACCUUAUGAGUUAUGGACUUGGUAUUCCAGUCGAGAGGAUUUAGGGCUGAGGUGUAUGUGAGACGUCCAUCGCCUCGAGCCUGGUUCUAGUGCGGUACUCCGCAGACGAUUGACUCAAGACCGAGUCGGGUGGUUAGCCUUGUAAAGGUAGAUGAAACUUUAUGAUUAAAAUGGUGAUUGACAAGAAUUUAAGAUAGAGGAAAUCUUAGAUAUCAAGUGGAUGAGCUAUGGUUAGCAGAAUUGAAAGUAGUAUCGAAUGAACUACUAGUUGGUUGCAUUGUUGCAUUAUUGCAUGAUUUGCAUAUAGUAUUGCAUUAUUACGUUUGUGAGGCAAUGCAUGGUUUUAUUCAUUGCAUAAUCAAGAUAUAUAUAUCUAUCUGUUUAUUAAACUAACCUGCAGUUGCCUCCUUUGAACCUGUUGGUCAAGCAUUUCCCUUGAGUGGCCGUACCCACUGGGAACUAUGGAGUUGGUUCUCACCCCACGUGGUUUUGGGGUGUUUACAGGUUCGUACGUGAGCGGCGUGGCUGCGCGAGGAAAGGGCGUAGCUCUGUAGAUAGCGCCCUACCCCAGAGACCAGAGCUAGCAGUACCCCGUCGACAUAGCUUAGGGGUUAAAGAAAUGAAAAGAACACAAUGUAACAUGAUGUAUUAAAGAUAUAAAUGUUGUAAUAAUUUAGAUUGCAUUUGGAUGAAAAAGGAAUGGUAGUUGAGGUGUAAAAUGCAUGAAUAUGAAUGAAUGUAAUAAUAUAGGAUGUGUUUAUGUUGUUUGAUACCUUCCAUUAUGCAAUCUUGAUUGAAAUGUGUUCCUGGUUGGAACUUCGCACAUUGUAUUGAUUGCUAUGCCUUGAACGUACAGGGGAGACUCUGUCCGCAGUACAGGAGAAACCCUGUCCGUUCGGCGGUCUGUCGGCGGCGUCGCGACCCGGCCAAAUUGGCGGGUGGUCGCGGGGCGUGACAAAAUAUCUCGCCAACGGGUCGCCCAGAGCUGCGUACACCCGUGGUCAGGGAUCUUUCCGGUGGGAAGGGGAUUAUGCCACAAACUCAACCCGCGGCCCAAGACCCUCGAUAAGGAAGGGGACAUGCCACACUCAACUCUAGCGAAGCACAAUUCUGCCGACGGGAGGGGGAACCUGCCACACUCGACCCGCGGCCUCGAAUCAGUCAACAACUCAUCCUCGAAGUUCGUCCAGUGGGAGGGGAACCUGUUAUACUCAACCCACUGCUUUAGAACUGUCGAGUUCACAAUCCUAAGAUUCCGGAAUCUAUUUCCCAAGCCUCUAGGGUAAUCUCAAACCCUAUGAUAUCGACCUAUCUAGGUCCAAUGCACUUUCUGUCCUAAGUCUAGCUAACUCUAGGUUUAAUGCCCCUAUCAUAUAACCUAUGUUCUCAAUCCUAGGUUCAUAUUUGACCUAUGUUAAUUACACUAGGUUCGGUGCCACUCGAUCUAGUUGUCCCUAAUUGUCCACAUCGAGUUUCUAUAAUUACAUAACCUCAUGCACAUGCUCACAUUGCUAAUAUGCAUUUUGUCUAUCAACAUCUAAUCAAGUAUCUUACUUAGCAUCUCUACAUUAUGUCAUCAUCUAGCAUAUAGUUCCGAUGCAUUAAUAUGCAUUCACUACUAGCAUGCAUUACAUAAUGCUAACAUGUAUAUACAUUUAACAAUUUCUCAUUAUGUCAUGUUAGAUCCACAACAUAUUAUCAUUUACUUACAUGCUCUAUUAUGAGUUGACAUGAAACUAGCACUUGCAUAUAAUUCCAA